UUUUACAGACAAAAUAUACGUCGCUGGUGGAUUUGAUAAUGAUUUUCUAAACUCGGUGGAAGUUUAUGACCCGGACAGCGACCGAUGGACGUUCGUUGCACCAAUGCAUUCUAGACGUUGGUUUCUUUCUUGCGUCGCGUUCCACGGCUGUCUGUACGUCCUAGGAGGACACAACAAGACAUCAGGCAGGCUCAGUAUCGAAAAAUAUGACCCUGCAGAAGACACGUGGACCGAGAUCGCUGCCAUGAACUACUAUUCAGAUGAACUCCACUUAGAAGUGAUGGACGACACGAUCUUCGUAAUCGGUGAAAAUCGUAACGGGGAAGACUUCCUCUCCCAUGUCUCAUGUUUCAGUGACAAGGAAAAUCAAUGGUUUGUGUCUUUGUUUGUUUGUUUCUUUGUAUGAUUCUUCAGGGCUGUAAAAUCACAAACUGUUUCUUUCGAGAAGCUCUAGGAACUGAAUCAUUACCAGUCAAGAUAUCCACGUUCUUGCAGAUGCUGCGCCGUGUAGUGACGUAGAAACUGACCGACGUUUCGGAAGUUCUUACUGCUUACUCAGGGCCUCGAAUAAGGGCGCGAAAAAUGGAUGAGAGGAAGGGGGUAGAAUGAAAGGCGGCAGGGCGAAGUUGCGGUCAAGCUGAUUGGUUAAGGCAGACGGGGAAUGACUAGGAAAUGCUAAUCAGACGUAAAUUGUGAAUGCAUUAAUAAGAAGUUCUUUGACUAAGUUUCUUUGAUCAGUGGCACUCUCUUGGGCAGGAAGUUUCUGGCGUUCAGCACAUCAGCAUCGCCAUAAUCUUCGGCUUUCAUCAAAGUCUUAGGCCAGUUUCAGGUUUAACGACGCGUACCGCCCCAUGUUCCCAUUUAUGAUGGAAGUUUAUUUCAAAAUGGCUGUCUCUUGGCGUGUUUGACCACGCAGUCUCCUGCCAUCUGUUGACGGAGUGAGUAAGGAGCUCCAAAAAUAUCCCAGAAGACAAAUUUCUUCAUACUUGUUUGAGGAAGAGCCGGAAAUCCAUUUGAUAUUGGUUUUUGUCUGUUUUACGUCUAUCAGAACCUCUCCAGAACUAUUUUUGGUAGGACAAAAAGUUUUUCAAAAUGCAUUGCUAAAAGAGGGAAAUAUUGUCAUGGACGCAUGUCUCCAACAAGACACGCUUAUCUCUCGAAAGAAAGCGUGUGAUUAAAUUUAUUAUUCAGACCGAAAGUAAUGGCUUAAUGAAGUGUACCAAACGCAGUUAGCUCAGAACACAAGUCACUUGACAGCCUUUUAAAAUAGUGGUAACCUCUCCUUCCAUUUCGAUGUAAUAAAAUGUGUUACCUUAUAAUAGGACGCUGGCCCAUGUUCUGUGUGCAUCUGAGUACAAGAAAGAUCACGUGGGAACUGUUCUGAAAUAUGGUGAGGCAAUCGUGCAUUGAAUUCCGAUUGGGGGAAUUUCUGUUUAGGUUGUCAGGAAACAAAUUAUAAGCAACGACAUUUCGGUGGAAGCUGUGCCCUUAGCUUCAAGCAGUUUCCCAUCCUACAUAAAGGCAGAGCCAACCCAUCAGACAUGGAUAUUUUUAGGGCAAAACAUUUUACGACUCCCAAAGAUAAUUCUUUUAUUCUUAUUCUACACCGAAAUCUCUGAUAUUUUAGAACCCCAAAAGUAAAAGUAUAUAUAUACAUAUUUUCUGUAACUGUGUCCGCAAAAUGCGGUAAAAAUUGUCUUGAGUGUAGAUAACACUGAUGGAUGAUGGAAGAUUGUUUGUUUUCACUUUUAAUAUUUCAAAUUGCAGGGACAAAAUGACAAACAUGAAUGGUCGUAGAUCCUGGAUGUCGAUUUGUGUCAUCAAGAACCUACCGAAUGCACGCGAUUACGCCUACAAGCACAGAGACAAAUCGAUGGAGGCGAAAUGCAAAGAAAUGUUGGAUUCGGAAUGUAACCGUCCAUCUGCUGAUGUAGCCACGGGUUCGAACCCAGUAGCUAGGCCGGCACUGGUGCGGUUAAAACGUUUGUUACUUCGGUGCGCGGAGAGGGUUAAAGGUUUUCUCAGGAUACCUUGACAUAGGGUCAGUCGGUGGGCGAGGAUCUCCGACUCUCAGGGAAUAUACGGAGAGGCCUUAAUUGGAGCGGCGCUCGCGGGAGGGCAGCGAAGUCGCUGAGCUGGUGCAAUUCUUGACGACACAGUUGUUGUUGUUGUUG